ensembl:rRNA 5S_rRNA 5S ribosomal RNA
AUGGCCAUACCACCCUGAACAUGCCUGAUCUCAUCUGAUCUCGGAAGUUAAGCAGAGUCAGGCCUGGUUAGUACUUGGAUGGGAGAAAUGUCUAGAGAGACCCAUU